UUGACCUCGGAUCAGGUAGGGAUACCCGCUGAACUUAAGCAUAUCAAUAAGCGGAGGAAAAGAAACCAACAGGGAUUGCCCUAGUAACGGCGAGUGAAGCGGCAACAGCUCAAAUUUGAAAGCUAGCCUUCGGGUUCGCAUUGUAAUUUGUAGAGGAUGAUUUGGGGAAGCCGCCUGUCUAAGUUCCUUGGAACAGGACGUCAUAGAGGGUGAGAAUCCCGUAUGUGAC
rnacentral:rRNA from 1 species